rnacentral:rRNA from 1 species
CGCUGGCGGCGUGCCUAAUACAUGCAAGUAGAACGCUGAGGAUUGGUGCUUGCACUAAUCCAAAGAGUUGCGAACGGGUGAGUAACGCGUAGGUAACCUACCUCAUAGCGGGGGAUAACUAUUGGAAACGAUAGCUAAUACCGCAUGACACUAGAGUACACAUGUACUCAAGUUAAAAGGAGCAAAUGCUUCACUAUGAGAUGGACCUGCGUUGUAUUAGCUAGUUGGUGAGGUAACGGCUCACCAAGGCGACGAUACAUAGCCGACCUGAGAGGGUGAUCGGCCACACUGGGACUGAGACACGGCCCAGACUCCUACGGGAGGCAGCAGUAGGGAAUCUUCGGCAAUGGACGGAAGUCUGACCGAGCAACGCCGCGUGAGUGAAGAAGGUUUUCGGAUCGUAAAGCUCUGUUGUUAGAGAAGAACGGUAAUGGGAGUGGAAAAUCCAUUACGUGACGGUAACUAACCAGAAAGG